rnacentral:rRNA from 1 species
UACGUAGGCAGCAAGCGUUGUUCGGAGUUACUGGGCGUAAAGAGUGCGUAGGUGGUGCCCUAAGUCUGUUGUGAAAUCUCCCGGCUUAACUGGGAGGGUGCGGUGGAAACUGGGGUGCUUGAGUGUGGGAGAGGUAAGCGGAAUUCCUGGUGUAGCGGUGAAAUGCGUAGAUAUCGGGAGGAACACCAGUGGCGAAGGCGGGUCUCUGGGCCGAUACUGACGCUGAGGAGCGAAAGCGUGGGGAGCGAACAGG